GGAUGUUCAUUAAGAAUUUGUUAAGUCAUUUGGAAACAAAGUUUUUAAGAUAAAAACUUUGUUUCCAAAUGACUUAACAAAUUCUUAAUGAACAUCAUAU